rnacentral:rRNA from 1 species
UGAAGCUGGAAUUGCUAGUAAUGGCAGGUCAGCAUACUGCCGUGAAUACGUUCCCGGGCCCUUGUACACACCGCCCGUCACACCAUGAGAGUUGGAAAUACCCGAAGCCUGUGAGCUAACUUAAAGAGGCAGCAGUCGAAGGUAGAGCCAAUGAUUGGGGUGAAGUCGUAACAAGGUACC